CGCAUCUGUGCAUGCAGCAUAUCAAUAAGCGGAGGAAAAGAAACUAACAAGGAUUCCCCUAGUAACGGCGAGUGAAGCGGGAAGAGCUCAAAUUUGAAAUCUUAAAUGGGUUUCCCUUUACGAAUUGUAGUUUAAAGAAGUGUUUUCUGUCGAGGUUUUGGUAAAAGUUCUUUGGAAUAGGACAUCAUAGAGGGUGAGAAUCCCGUAUUUGACCUUUACUUUCAACUUUGUGAUACACUUUCAAAGAGUCGGAUUGUUUGGGAAUGCAGUCCAAAAUGGGUGGUAAAUUUCAUCUAAAGCUAAAUAUUGGCGAGAGACCGAUAGCGAACAAGUACCGUGAGGGAAAGAUGAAAAGAACUUUGAAAAGAGAGUUAAACAGUACGUGAAAUUGUCAAAAGGGAAGCGUUUGACACCAGUGUUGUUUUUCUGAAAAUCAAUUAAAGAACUGUUUAUGCUAAGCUGUUUAGACUUUAUCAGCUAUCUGUUUAGUUUUGAGCUUUUCUUUAAUGCACUUUUCAGUUAACAAGUCAACAUCAAUUUCUUUUGCUGUAAAAAAGCUUGAGGAAGGUGGCUUGAGAUUCGUCUUAAGUGUUUAUAGCCUCUUGCCUAUGCAGUCGGAGAGAUUGAGGUCUGCAGCGUAGAUCCUUCGGGGCUAAAUGCAUUUGUGCUAAGUUAUAGCAUUUUAUAGACAACUUGUUGACUAUGAUUUGUCUUGUAGCUUACUCGCUUAUGUUAUUUUACCUACGCUUAGGAUGUUGAGUCGUAGAGCACGCAG
rnacentral:rRNA from 1 species